UUCCUUUACUCAACUGGAAGUAGCAGGUGACUUAAGUUGGUGCUACAAGAUCACAUCUACAAAUGAACAGUUGAGAUGGGCCAUGUAAUUGACCAAGUCUUACAACUUCACCUUCAAGGUCCUGUGGAGUAAGAGGCAGGCAACAUGCAGGACUUGAUGGCGUAGCUGCAAAGAAACCUGCAGCAAAAAGCACGUGGAUUUUCAGCAAAGGCUCCUUCCGUGUCCAUCUACAGGAGAGAGUGGGAGAAGAGGUCACCAUGUACUUCAACCUGAAGGUUCUGCCUCGGUUUCUUCUGCUGUUUCUGAAGCUUGUAAGGCAGGGUACGGAGCUCUGGUGAAAGACUUCCAGGCCAUCCGCAGUGAACCCAGCAAGUUAUUCUUCAGGUCCAUACUCAUCCUGGUAAAGCCCUCUCUCAGUUCUGAAACAGUGAAUAAACGAUGCUACGUGAUGUCGCAUUUAAGGCUCAGCAAAGAAAAGAAUCAACUCCAUUUAGUGUAUACUCAUCAGAAUAUCCAGAAUCAAGUUCUAUACAGACUCACCUAAGUGCAUCCGCUUCCUGCCUUUAUGAUGUGGGAUCAGCAUUGGCUCAAAUUCUACUUCCGGGACCACCAUUGGUUCAAUCCUAUAUGCUACAGGAUCAAACUGCAUAGGAAAAAUAACAGCUACGUAUUUAUCCCUAAUAAAGAAGACAGUCUGAGAAACUAUGUAUCUUAGUGAGGAACUCAGAGAGUUGAAGUUUCUUCAGUUCUUCUUCUAACGUUGGUACAUCUCCUUGAUCCUCAACAGUUCUAAAUGAACCCUAAAAAUUGUAUCACAUAGCUUAUUAUUCACAAAAUUCAUUUAGUUUUCUUUAUUAAUACUAUUUUAUAAUUUGAAAUGUAUUAUGUAAGAUAUUCACAAUAAUAAAUCUUAACAUUAACUACUUGGUUUUGUUUUAAGACAAGGUCUCACGAGGUCCAAGAUGGUCUCAAACUUACUAUGUAAAUAAAGAUGAUAUUUAUUUAU